rnacentral:rRNA from 1 species
UACAGAGGUCCCGAGCGUUGUUCGGAUUCACUGGGCGUAAAGGGUGCGUAGGUGGUGAGGUAAGUCGGAUGUGAAAUCUCCGAGCUCAACUCGGAAAUGGCAUUGGAAACUACCUUGCUCGAGGGUUGGAGGGGGGACUGGAAUACUUGGUGUAGCAGUGAAAUGCGUAGAUAUCAAGUGGAACACCAGUGGCGAAGGCGAGUCCCUGGACAACUCCUGACACUGAGGCACGAAAGCGUGGGGAGCAAACGGG